rnacentral:rRNA from 1 species
CCUACGGGAGGCUGCAGUGGGGAAUAUUGCUCAAUGGGGGAAACCCUGAUGCAGCCACGCCGCGUGAAGGAAGACGGUUUUCGGAUUGGUAACUUCUGUUCUUAGUGAAGAAUCAUGACGGUAGCUAAGGAGCAAGCCACGGCUAACUACGUGCCAGCUGCCGCGGUAAUAUGUCGGUGGCAAGCGUUGUCCGGAAUUACUGGGUGUAAUGGGAGUGCAGGCGGGAAGCCAAGUCAGCUGUUAAAACUACGGGCUUAACCUGUAGACUGCAGUUGAAACUGGUUUUCUUGAGUGAAGGAGAGGUUGGCGGAAUUCCGGGUGUAGCGGUGAAAUGCGUAGAUAUUCGGAAGAACACCGGUGGCGAAGGCGGCCAACUGGGCUUUAACUGACGCUGAGGCUCGAAAGUGUGGGGAGCAAACAGGAUUAGAUACCCCUGUAGUC